GUACUACUCCCUCCGUCCAGAAAUAUUUGUCAUCAAAAUGAAUAAAAUGGGAUGUAUCUAGACGUAUUUUAAUUCUAGAUACAUCCCUUUAUCCAUUUUGAUGACAAGUAUUUUCGGACGGAGGGAGUACUAG
rnacentral:pre_miRNA from 1 species